rnacentral:rRNA from 1 species
UACGUAGGGUGCAAACGUUGUUCGGAUUUACUGGGCGUAAAGCGCGUGUAGGCGGCUUGGCAAGUCGGAUGUGAAAGCCCACGGCUCAACCGUGGAAGCGCAUCCGAAACGGCCUCGCUCGAGUCUCGGAGAGGAAGGUGGAAUGCUUGGUGUAGAGGUGAAAUUCGUAGAUAUCAAGCAGAACACCUGCGGCGAAGGCGGCCUUCUGGACGUAUGACUGACGCUGAGACGCGAAAGCGUGGGGAGCAAACAGG